GUAGUUCGAUCCGUGGACUCGAGACGAACGCUGGCGGCGUGCUUAACACAUGCAAGUCGUACGGUAAGGCCCUUUCGGGGGUACACGAGUGGCGAACGGGUGAGUAACACGUGAGUAACCUGCCCACAACUUUGGGAUAACGCUAGGAAACUGGUGCUAAUACUGGAUAUGUGCUCCUGCUGCAUGGUCGGGGGUUGGAAAGCUCCGGCGGUUGUGGAUGGACUCGCGGCCUAUCAGCUUGUUGGUCGGGGUAGUGGCCUACCAAGGCGGCGACGGGUAGCCGGCCUGAGAGGGUGGCCGGCCACAUUGGGACUGAGAUACGGCCCAGACUCCUACGGGAGGCAGCAGUGGGGAAUAUUGCACAAUGGGCGCAAGCCUGAUGCAGCAACGCCGCGUGCGGGAUGACGGCCUUCGGGUUGUAAACCGCUUUCAGCAGGGACGAAGCUUUUGUGACGGUACCUGCAGAAGAAGCACCGGCUAACUACGUG
rnacentral:rRNA from 1 species